CCGGUUGAUCCCGCCGGACCUGACCGCUAUCGGAUUGAUACUAAGCCAUGCGAGUCAUUGUAGCAAUACAAGGCAGACGGCUCAGUAACGCGUAGUCAACCUAACCUAUGGACGGGAAUAACCUCGGGAAACUGAGAAUAAUGCCCGAUAGAACACUAUAUCUGGAAUGGUUUGUGUUCCAAAUGAUUUAUCGCCGUAGGAUGGGACUGCGGCCUAUCAGUUUGUUGGUGAGGUAAUGGCCCACCAAGACUAUUACAGGUACGGGCUCUGAGAGGAGUAGCCCGGAGAUGGGUACUGAGACACGGACCCAGGCCCUAUGGGGCGCAGCAGGCGAGAAAACUUUGCAAUGUGCGAAAGCACGACAAGGUUAAUCCGAGUGGUUUGUGCUAAACGAACCUUUUGUCGGUCCUAGAAACACCGAUGAAUAAGGGGUGGGCAAGUUCUGGUGUCAGCCGCCGCGGUAAAACCAGCACCUCAAGUGGUCAGGAUGAUUAUUGGGCCUAAAGCAUCCGUAGCCGGCGCUGUAAGUUUUCGGUUAAAUCUGUACGCUCAACGUACAGGCUGCCGGGAAUACUGCAGCGCUAGGGAGUGGGAGAGGUAGACGGUACUCGGUAGGAAGGGGUAAAAUCCUUUGAUCUAUUGAUGACCACCUGUGGCGAAGGCGGUCUACCAGAACACGUCCGACGGUGAGGGAUGAAAGCUGGGGGAGCAAACCGGAUUAGAUACCCGGGUAGUCCCAGCUGUAAACUAUGCAAACUCAGUGAUGCAUUGGCUUGUGGCCAAUGCAGUGCUGCAGGGAAGCCGUUAAGUUUGCCGCCUGGGAAGUACGUACGCAAGUAUGAAACUUAAAGGAAUUGGCGGGGGAGCACCACAAGGGGUGAAGCCUGCGGUUCAAUUGGAGUCAACGCCGGGAAUCUC
rnacentral:rRNA from 1 species